rnacentral:rRNA from 1 species
UGGGGAAUUUUGGACAAUGGGGGAAACCCUGAUCCAGCCAUCCCGCGUGUGCGAUGAAGGCCUUCGGGUUGUAAAGCACUUUUGGCAGGAAAGAAACGUCAUGGGUUAAUACCCCGUGAAACUGACGGUACCUGCAGAAUAAGCACCGGCUAACUACGUGCCAGCAGCCGCGGUAAUACGUAGGGUGCAAGCGUUAAUCGGAAUUACUGGGCGUAAAGCGUGCGCAGGCGGUUCGGAAAGAAAUAUGUGAAAUCCCAGAGCUCAACUUUGGAACUGCAUUAUUAACUACCGGGCUAGAGUGUGUCAGAGGGAGGUGGAAUUCCGCGUGUAGCAGUGAAAUGCGUAGAUAUGCGGAGGAACACCGAUGGCAAAGGCAGCCUCCUGGGAUAACACUGACGCUCAUGCACGAAAGCGUGGGGAGCAAACAGG